AGUGCGUAAUAGCUCACUGGUCGAGUGAAGUUGCGCGGAAAAUUACCGGGGCUAAACUAUACACCGAAAUUGCGGAUUUGCAUAGAAAUAUGUAAGUGGUAGAGGAGCAUUCUAUAGUAGGACGAAGCAUAAUCGAAAGGAUAUGUGGACGAGAUAGAAGAGAGAAUGCCGGAAUAAGUAGCGAAAGCAUGGUGAGAAUCCAUGCCAUCGAAAGUCUAAGGUUUCCUGGGGAAGGUUCGUCCGCCCAGGGUAAGUCGGGACCUAAGGAGAGGCCGAAAAGCGUAUCCGAUGGACAGCAGGUAGAAAUUCCUGCACUACGUAAUACUUAAAAGACAUAAAUGACACAGGAGUGGAAGAUAAGCGAGGAAGAGGAAAGACUCGUAUCGAAAGAUAUAGUGAAAAUUAAAGUAACGAAUUAUCAAGAAGCUAAUGGCGAGAAAAGUUUAUGGAUAUUGUAUUAAGUACCCGUACCGCAAACCGACACAGGUAGAUGAGGAGAAGAUCCUAAGAUGAGCGAGAGAAGCAUUGUUAAGGAACUCGGCAAACUGACCCCGUAACUUCGGAAUAAGGGGUGCUGGAGUAGAAUCCAGUCGCAGAGAAUAGUCCCAAGCAACUGUUUAACAAAAACACAGGUUUCUGCUAAAUCGAAAGAUGAAGUAUAGGAGCUGACACCUGCCCAGUGCUGGAAGGUUAAGGGGAAAUGUAAUCUGUAGAGAGAAGCAUAGAACCAAAGCCCCAGUGAACGGCGGCCGUAACUAUAACGGUCCUAAGGUAGCGAAAUUCCUUGUCAGGUAAGUUCUGACCCGCACGAAAGGCGUAAUGAUUUGGGCGCUGUCUCGACAAUGUACUCGGCGAAAUUGUAGUACUAGUGAAGAUGCUAGUUACCUGCGACAAGACAGAAAGACCCCAUGGAGCUUUACUGUAGCUUGAUACUGGGUUUCGAUAGAUUAUGUACAGGAUAGGUGGGAGACAAUGAAGCAAGUGCGCCAGCAUUUGUGGAGUCACCGUUGGGAUACCACCCUUAAUCUAUUGAAAUUCUAACCUGUAGUCAUGAACUGGCUAGGGGACAAUGUCAGGUGGGCAGUUUGACUGGGGCGGUCGCCUCCAAAAGAGUAACGGAGGCGCGCAAAGGUUUCCUCAGCGCGGACAGAAAUCGCGCGAAAGAGUGCAAAGGCAGAAGGAAGCUUAACUGAGAGACUGACAAGUCGAUCAGAUACGAAAGUAGGUCUUAGUGAUCCGGUGGUAGUGAGUGGAAAUGCCAUCGCUCAACGGACAAAAGUUACCCUGGGGAUAACAGGCUUAUCUCCCCCAAGAGUUCACAUCGACGGGGAGGUUUGGCACCUCGAUGUCGGCUCAUCGCAUCCUGGGGCUG
rnacentral:rRNA from 1 species